rnacentral:pre_miRNA from 1 species
AGGUCAGAAUGAGUGACAAUGUUGGGUUUAUGUGGUAAUAUUGCACUCGUCCCGGCCUAU